GGGUUUGACGGUUUGUUUACAUUACAUACUUUACAUGGCCUUUAAUGAAACCUUUUUUGGCUACUAACACCAAUGUUUCUGACAGAGUUGUACAGGCAAUACUGUAAACAGAAACACUAUAUCAUCAAACAAUUCUAUCAAACAUUCAAACGAGUUGACAAGUUGCAAAAGAAUCCAAAUGCUGUUUAAUUGUUGCAUUCAUACCAUGAUUCAUACAUUUACAGUUCAAUUAAAAAAUCCCAAAUCUUGUACAAACACAGUCGUAGCAUACGUGUACGCUUGUAAGUCUUGUACGCUUGAACUUGUUUUCAAUAAUAACACUCCAAUAUAUAGUAGUAGAUCAAGGACAUAUGCCAUCAUUCCCAUCAAUACUCACUCAGAGUGAACCAAGAGUAUGAAUUAUUACCAUAACGAAGCCUGUUAUUUUGCCCAAAUGUAUUCAAGUAUGCAUAAAUCAACUCCUUAAUCCCUUCACCACUUUUUCGGACGAAAAGCAACCAAAAAUGCGUCAAAAUAAGCAAAUUUUCAGGCCAAAUAAAGCAAAAUAUAUCGUAUUCACUCAUAUUGGCCGCGCUCGUGAACG